CCUAGAUUUAGGAAUGAAUUGCUACCUAAAUUUUGUGGAUUCGUCUCCUAAAUUCACUCUGUCAUCGCCUCUCUUAACCCCAGAAUCCAGGAGUCUAACUCCCACCUCUUUGGACCGUGCUUUUCCGGCGCUCUGACUUUCCUCAUUUCUGGGUGGGCAGAGCGUGACAGAGAAGAAGAGGAGGUGGAAAGAACCUGGGUGCCGCCCCCCCACCUCAUCCCCCGCCCCGCUCCUGAGCGGCGGAGACUGCGAUCCUCAAUCCUACCACACGGGGGCGCCAGAACAAGCGCGGACGCGGGCGAGGCAGCGCAAGGUGGUUCUCGUCCGUUUCACAGUAGGGACCCCAGUCUCCUUAUACAAUCCCCUCUCAUUGCGUCUUUGCACCCCUCCCCAUGGCUGACGGAAUAAAUGGCUGCAGAGACCUCCUAAAGCCCUUCCAUAGCCCUCAUCCCUGGUUUUCCAAGCCUUGAACUCCGCAAUCAUUGUUCUGCCGAACUUCACUCUCCAUCUACUCCUGGAAUGCAUGAGAGCUUCAGAUACCCGGACCAAGAGCUGAUGGGGUUUCUUCUGGGAAAGUCAAGCCACUGAUGGAAGGGAGAAGCCACUGCUGGUUCUAGAGAGAAAGCACAACUGGUUUGAACAGACAGGACCCAGAGGCACACGUAUCGUCAAUCUUUCCCUUUUCUCUUCCGACUAGGACCCUUUCCAAGGUGAUUACCCAAACCGCAAGAUCCACCCAUCUGCGCUGACCCUGGGCGGGCAUCCCACACCGCAGAUCCACCCCCUCUUCCUCUCAGGUUCAAGUCGUCCUUGGGCGUGCUCCCUAUAGACCAUACUGUGGCGGAGUAGGGAGGCAGGCCCCUUCCCCGGCUUUCAAUCCCUUACCGUCCCCCCAUCCAGUACUGAUCUUUUACUGGCGCCCAAUUAGAUGCUGGCGGUGCCCUCUUCCUAUUCUGCUCAGCAACGCGGGCUCCGCGCCUCAAGAGCUUUGUAACCCACCCUCCCGCCUUCUGGCUCCUCUGUACCCACCCUUCCAUUCAUUUUUCCAUUCAUUCAUUCAUCCUUUUCUCCUCGUCCCUCCUUCAUUCAUUCAUAGCCCCCUGCCCCGCCCGCCUAGACAUUUCAUUCAU
rnacentral:sRNA from 1 species